CCUCCGUAAAGGCGUCUUUAGGUAGGCGCCGCGGGCAGUUCUCAGUCCGGAGGCGCCCUCUGUCCCAUUUCCACUUCCCAAGCCGGCUCUGAUUUUCCAGCUGGAACGAAGCACCAUGGAGCUUGGCUCCUCAGGGAGCUCUGGAUGGAGAGGGCCCGAGGGGCAUCUCCUCAGGAUAUCUAUUUCUAAAGCCUGCUGGGAUCUCCCAUCUUGAGCAGGUAGAAGAGCCAUUGAAACUGAAACUGCAAGGAGAGGGUCCAAGCCUAAUUUGUACCGGCUCAAACUGAACAGAGGGCUUACCUGUCUGGCUGCAGUGGUGAAUCAAUAUGUUAAAGAGUCUGUGUCCAAGAGUGAGAAAGAAGGUUUUAUUCUGAAGGAGGAUACUUUUGAGGAGGCACAGGACCACAUGGUGCUAUCAGGUGGACCCCAGUGCUGUGGUUCCCAGGAAUUCUGGUUUGGAAAAACCUGUGAAGAGGAGAAAAGCAGGUUAAUGAGAUGGCCUGCCUACCGCAAUAGGGAAAGUGUGGAGAACACUACAUGUGACAUUAUAGAAGUGAUUGUCAAGGAUGAGAUGAUCUCAGUAGAAGAGCAUUUGAAAGAUGCUGAUUUAUACCCACCUUGUACCUCAGAAAAGUCUACAUGAGCAGGUAUUCUAUAUAUGUGAAGAAUGUGGCAAGUGUUUUGAUCAAAAUGAAGACUUUGAUCAACAUCAGAAUUCAUAUUGGGAAGAAAGUCUGUGGAUGAAAGGAAUGCUGGAAGACUUUCAGUUUCACAUCACACUGCAUUGUACAUCAGAGGAUUCACACUGGGGUGAAACCCUACGUAUGUCAAGAAUGUGCUAAAGCCUUCGUUUGGAAGUCAAACCUGAUUGGGCACCAGAGAAUUCACACCGGAGGGAAACCCUUUGAAUGUAAGGAAUGUGGGAAGGGCUUUAGUCAGAACACAAGCCGUACACAACAUCAGCGAAACCACACCGGGGAGGAACCAUAUACAUGUAAGGAAUGUGGGAAAAGUUUUACUCAGAGCCCAGUCCUUCUUCAACAUCAGAGAAUCCACACUGGGGAGAAAACUUAUGAAUGUAAGGACUGUGGGAAAGGCUUCAUGUGGAACUUGGAUCUUGCUCAGCACCAAUGGGCCCACACUGGAGAGAAGCCUCAUGAAUGUAUUGACUGUGGGAAAAGCUUCAUGUGCAAGGCACGCCUUACUCGUCAUUAGAGAAUCCAUACUGGGGCAAGACCCUAUAAAUAUAAUGACUGUGGGAAGGCCUUCAGUCAGAAUUCUGUUUUGAUUAUGCACCAGAGGCGCCAUGCUAGAGAGAAACCCUAUAACUGUCAGACUUCUCACUUUCUUGAACAUUAGAGAAUGUGUAAUGGUGAUACUUGUUUAUAAUUCUUAUGCUACAGGAACCCCAGCCACAAGAUGAGAUGACUGCCCACAGUUUGCUGUAACUGUAAUAGCCAGUAUUGUCUUGCCCCUUCUCCUGAGUGGAUACCCUGUCCUCCAGCAAGACUGGUCUCUCUGUUCAGCCAUAUUCAUACUAGGCAACAUUUAAUUGAGCACCUACUCUAUGUCAGGUACUGUGCUAACCAUUUUACAUACAUUCCUUAACUUUUCUUAAUCCUAUAAGGUAGGUACUCUUAUCCUCAUUUUACAAAUGAGAAAUCUGAGGUUGAAAGAGGUUAUAAACUCAUUCAAGUUCACUCAGGUAGUAAAGUUUAGGGUUAAGAUUGGAACCAGGCCUAUCUGACUCCCAAAUCUAUUGUUCUUUAUCUGUGCACAUUUCUGCUUCUGCCUGCUUUUAUUUGCUCAAAUUUCCCUGGGCUAAAAGUCUCCUUUCCUCAUCUAAGACCCAGCUCCUUCAGGUGAACAGACCUCUCUUUGUUUUCUAAUUGUAGUCAGUACCACCCAAGUUGGUAUUUGAUUAUGUGCUGUCUUAUAUUUUUUGUAAUAGUCUCAUGCCUGUUAGUCUGGCUAAAUGACUCUUUGAGGACCAACACUGCAUUUCUUUAUGUUUUUCAAAUCUUGAAACGUAUUUAUUUUUGACUAGCUAUAACAUACUCAUGAUAAAAAAAAAUUGAAAUAGUUCAAAAAGGUGUUCAGUGAAAAGUAAAUUUCCUUGUCACUCCUGUCUCCCAGUCGUCCUCAGAGAAAAUACAUUGUUUCUGUGUCUUUCUGGGUACAUGCCCGCACAAGUAUUUAUUAAUACUACUUUCCAUAAGUCUACCCCACUUAAAACCAUAUUUGAUAUAGUGAUAUUGCUAUUACUUUGCCAACUCCAGGACCUUCUCUUCCUCAGAAGUUGUGGGCCUCCUUUAGGUCACCAAGGUAACUUAAGGAAAGCAGUGGAGAUAGUCUGGGUUGUGCAGUCUUGGGAAACCUGAUUGCCCUUGUGUUAUAAGAGAGUACUCUGGGACUGGGAAAAUAUAAACCAAGUGGGAACUUUUUUUCAUAAAAAUUUGUAGAGCUACAACCCCUCUCAUUGCACCACUAUCCUAAAUUCUCUCCUAGUCUGUCCCCUUCUCAUCACCAUAAUACCUACAUCCCGAAGUAAGCUGUGGGGCUGUCAUCACCAAAGGAGGGAGAAGUGGUCACUUCAUGCUCUAUUGGGUAUCCUCAAUCAGUUAGCAGUGGCAAUAUAAUCCAGUAUCUUGGUGUCAGGGUCACAAAUGCCCUGCAUAGGUCCAGGAUCAAACAUAAAUGCUAGACACGCAUAGAUUCUACGCAGCAAGUAAGGGGAAGGUGAAGAAUUCCAAAAUUGACUAUACUUGAAAUCAAGUCUGUAAAAUAAAAUAUUUUUAA